rnacentral:piRNA from 1 species
GGACAGCUUGCUCGACUCUAGACU